CAGUCUAACUGCCAGACCGGGAGGGCUCCUUUUCCUCGACGGAGAGGGCAAUUUCUUCCAGACAGCGAGGGAAAGAUCGGCGAAGACCGCUUCCUUCUGCUUGGAGCGCAGCGCACCUCCGUUGUCACGGAGGGGCUUCCAGCCUUUCCUAGUGAACCUCUCCUGGGGCCCUUCCGCUUGGCAUGAGCCAGAGACCGCUCAGAGGAGGCCGAGGAGGCCCUUAACAUAGGGGUUCUUCUGGGGCCAGGGAGUGUUGUGAGGAGCGGCUGGGUAGAGAAAUGAGGAUGCCUAACAUCAAUCCCUUCCCAUCCUGAAAGAUCUUCCAGUCCCACCUGGAGUUUAGAUGAAGGGGAGAUUUGGCAUCUUUCCCUCUGAUACUUGCAGGGAGACCCUGUAGAAGGGGGCCUGGCUGAUCCCCUUUUCUGAGCAACAUCCGAGCUCCAAACUGGGCCUCCUAGGCCUUUCCUGGAGACAUGGGCGAGAGUUACACUGGAAUCCUGAGCAUAGUGUGAAUUCGUAAUAAGCCGCAAAGCGAGGAAAUAUGGUUAGGAUCGGGGCUGACACAAUGAAGCAAGUACUCAAAGUAGUCCCACUGAAAUGAAAAGGACCAGUUAGGCCUGAAUUGUUCUUUUAGUUUGAAUGGGACUACUUCCAGUGAUUUUCCUCAUAAUAUCAACCAGGGUGCUCAUCAAGUGGGCAGGAUCUGCCCCUCCCCCGCAACCCGGGCUAGGAAAGGCUUAUCUUUAUGCCAGGACUUGAACCGUCUAGUAUUAGACCCAGGAAUGAAGGGAUCCUCCCAGCCCAGCGUCGGGUGUCCCAGCGGUGAAAGCCCUCGGUUCCACGGGGGUCGCGCCUACUCCAAAGGGACGGAAUCUUCUCUUUCUCCUCAGGAGAAGGCACUUCCACUAGCCUUGCCCCUCCGCGCUUCUUUCGCGAACUUCUUCCUCUGCUUGGAGCAGCAGGCGAAGCCUUUUAACACUGCAGCAGCAGCAGCCUCUAUAUCUUUAUUGGCUUUCACCCGUUCCCGUAAAAUCAGGCUAAAACAAAAGGGACGCUGCGCACAACUCCCGCCUCUUCCCACCCCGCCCAGCCUCGCUGCUUGGGGCUUCAGUCAAGCCAGAACUGGCAACUGCUGACCGAAAAGGGCUGGAUCUUCUCCGUUAUCUCAGGCCUGCUGGUGGUGGCGCCGGAUUCCUGUUCGUGUUUACCCUGAAAAGAGUCGGUGUGUUUGUAGCAGCAAAAACAGCAAAGAAACUUGUAGCAUGUUGAAGACGAACAGAUGAAUUGUGGCACAAAGCUUCGUGAAUUCCAUCCCAUUUCCUCAGAUGCUUCUGAUGAAGCGGACUCUAGUCUGUGGAUUGGAGGCUCGUAUUUUUAAAAAAUGCAUUGUAGGAAGCUGAGGUGCAGGCUGCUAUUUCCUUUGUGGAGAUUUGUACAUAUGGAACUAUCACUACUGCAUGAGGAACUGGAGAUAGAAAUGGCCCGGAUCUGAGAUGUGUGUGAAACACUGUGGCAACCGUAUGGACUUCACAAACCUUCACCAAGCCCACCCAACUCCAGUCUCCAACAACAAUCAGUGGAGGAUCAAGUCAACUGAUACUGAGAUGCUGGGGAUAAAAACAAAGAAUGGCUUCCUUCAGCAUGUCCUGAUGGUGAGUUCCCAGAGGCAUCUGACUGCCAUUAUUGAAUCUACAAAAUGAUGGACUAGAUGUGUUUAAUCCAGCAAAGCAAUUUUUAAAAAUAAUAAUUUUAUUAUCAAAUACAGAAAAAAGAGAGCUACAAAAAUCCAGGCAUUAUGUUACAUUAUACAAUCAAACAAGAUAUAAGAAUAUCCUGACAUUCUGUGAAUAAAAAACAAGAAAAACAAACCUUUACAAUAUAUAUUUAACUAUAAGAUCUGAAAAUGCAAUUCCUAAGAGCUAGAGUUGUUCCACAAAAAGAACCAUGAAAAUCUAUUUGUUAAAUAUCUGAGGUGAGAAAAUCAUUAUACUGGAAUGAAAUUGGUGCAUGCUGAUAAUCACACACUCCCAUCUCUGCAAGGAAAGAAGGAAGACAUUCUCUUAUCAUUCAGAGAGAGCACCAAAAUCCACCAAGCAGAAACUAAGUAUGUCGUUUUUUUCAAUGAUUAUGCCAUCUAGAGGCUGAAAUGAUGAAAUACAGAGUGUGUGUUUUAUGCUA